UACGGGGGGGGUAAGCGUUGUUCGGAAUUACUGGGCGUAAAGGGCUCGUAGGCGGCCAACUAAGUCAGACGUGAAAUCCCUCAGCUUAACUGGGGAACUGCGUCUGAUACUGGAUGGCUUGGAUUUGGGAGAGGGAUGCGGAAUUCCAGGUGUAGCGGUGAAAUGCGCAGAUAUCAGGAGGAACACCAAUUGCGAAGGCAGCUCGCUGGGACGUUACUGACGCUGAGACGCGAAAGCGUGGGGAGCAAACAGG
rnacentral:rRNA from 1 species